GUGCAACUGAGAAUUCCCAGAAGGUCCCGGAUGUGAAGUCACUGGCGUGAGGUCACCGAGCCUGGUUCCAGGAAUCACAAGCUUGUGGGGGAGGAAAGAAUGCACGGAAAAAGAGGGAAAGCAAGUGAAGUCGUGGGUGCUGGCGAGCGAGGGAGCGGGUGAAUGACGGCUAGUUCAGCUGGGCCCCAGGCUCGCCUCCAACCAGGUCUUGGCGGCCCUGACUUCAGAAGAGAUUUCCGAGGAGAGGAUGCUGCACAUAUUAGAGAAAUGCCAGUAGAACACAGAGUUAAGAAUCAGCUGCAAUCCGGGCAUGGUGGUGCACGUCUGUAAUCUCAUCCACUGGGGAGGCUGAGGCAAGAGGAUCAUAAAUUCAAGGAGCUGGCCCUGAAAAUUUAUGUUCCAGUUUCCUUGGAUGGCAUCCCAAUUGGCUUCAUAGAAACUGAGGUGAGGGCAGGAGAGUUUACCAGCAAGGCUGUGACUCCAACAGGUCCUUCUCAUCUUGGAGUGGCGGAUGAUUGUGAUGGCAAGUUUAUGGCUUAAAGAAACUCUCUCCAAAGCCUGCUUUGAAGUUGGAAUGUCAUGAUCACUGUCAGAGAGUCGGAUCAGGAGUUCAGGAUUAGAGAUGAGCUGUUGAGUCCAGUUGGCUUCAGCCACGAGAAGCCCCAGCAGGAAAGAGAGAAGGAAGAGAGUGAGAUCGGGGCACCUGAUUGCCUGGUGCCCUGCCAGCGAGUCACCGCGGAUUGUGCACAUUCUUCAAGAGGCCACUGUUCAUCCCACAGCAGUCCACUCUACCAGUUCUCUCCCUUCCGAUGAUGCCUCCAGUUCUCUCCCCUUUUACUUCAGGCCAAAUGGUAGAAACAUCUCUGCUGCUGCUCACCCAGGUUGUCACUCUGUCCCUUGUGGUGUUCCUACAACCACACGUGUGUAAAUAGGCCUUCCUAAAAUAAUCCAGUUUUGAGUGCGUCAUUAUCUUUUGGUAUGCUGACCCAUCAACCAGCAUCAAUUCACAGAUUCAAAACAAAACAAAACUUGCAUCUGUGCAUCAACCACACCACUGUAUUCACAAAGACCAGCUGUCAGGCAACAAUCUGGCUCCUGAUCUUGAUAUAUAUAGAAACAAAUAGCAAGAAGAGUCAAUGCUUUCCAUUCAUGGCCUCUCUGACUAUUUUCAGAUACUGUGUGGAGAAAUGGACAAGUAAAAGGCACUGUUGAAUAAAGUAUGCUGGCUGUUGAGGGAAAGAUAUUCACAUGAGGUUUUGAAAUAAGAGAUGAGAUACAGCAUCCCUUCCUGGCACUGUGACUCUUUGAUGUGGGUGACUGGCCCAAGCAGCAGUUCAGUUAGUUGCACACUCAGUCUCUUGAUUACCCUGAACUUUUGGCUUCAGAAUGAGUCUAUUGCCAUUUUUCAUGUUGAGGAAAAGACAUCAAGAUUUUGAAGACAGAAUGGAGGUGCCAAAGCUUUGCCUUUGAGAACAUAAUUCUUUCCUUCCAUUUGAAGGUUUUCUUUUCUCAGUAGAGAAAUAAAUCUAUAUAAAAGCAACCACUAGAAAAAUAAAAAUAUUCAAAUCAUCAGACAAAAAUACAAACAUGUGCAUACACAUGCAUAUCAAAGAAAACAAAAGAAAUGCAUGUAGUAAAUAAAACAAAACAGAGGAAGCAAUGAAAUAGGAAACACAGCACAAGAUAAGAUGACAGAAUUGCUGGGCAUGGUGGUGCACGCCUGUAAUCCCAGCAGUCCAGGAUGCUGAGGCAGGAGGAUCGCAAGUUCAAAGUCAGCCUCAAUAACUUAGUGAGGCCCUAAGCACCUUAG